GUUGGGAAAAGCUGUAACUACAGACUAGUAGGAAGAAGGUGAGAAGGUAAAAAGGAGGAACCUUGAAGUCAAUCGUAUAUUUUGCUCCUUCCCAACGAGACCUGCGGCUCCACUCAGACGUGGAUUUCUUCCUAGCCCCAAAGUGUGCGAUUUUCAUUCAUGUCUUUAAAAACCCCCAUAGGAAUAUGCUCCCCUCUCCCUUCUGAUAAUUCCUAUAAUUCCCAUUUUAUACUGAGCAAGUAGCUGAAUUGAGAAGGAGAGAAAAAGAGAGGCGGUGUCCUCGCCUAGUUCUGGUCACGAGCUAAAGUCACCCCUCCGCCUCCUUCACCACAUGGGUUGCUACUUUGGCCUCUGAGCGCCCCCCCAGGCUCUCUCCUAGACUCUUCAAAUCAUG